rnacentral:lncRNA from 1 species
AGUUCUAGAUGAUUUUGUAACAAUUUAUAAAUCCUUACCACACAAAUGCUGCCCCUCUUCAUUCUCUGAAUUCCCUUCCUUCAGUUCCUCAAUAUACAUCUGUUCAAACUUAAAUUUACAGCCUACACCCUAAUAACAUUGCAGCAAAAAUAAAAUACACCAAAAAGAUCAACACAAUUAGCAGCCUGUGACUAAAAUUAGCAAGAACCCUUCGUACCAUAACUUUCAAGAAUCUUGAAGCUAAUUAUAAGUACANUAGUUAUAUCAAGAUUACGCAAGUAAUUAUUGUAACUUAAAUCAAGAACCAACAAACAAAGAGAGAGAGGAAAGAGAUUAAACGAGAUCAUGACCCUGAUCUGUACUGAGAUCUAUCCCAUGAACGAGUUCUGUGCAUCAUUUGAUUUCAAAGAGCUACUGCUCAAUUCUGGAACUUGAACCUAAAGCAGCUUAGUCAUGGCGGAUGCAUGAACUUGCAGCAACGUUCGAUUUUAGGAAAAAGGUGACCAUGGCAGAUAACUCUUUGUUUUGAGAAAGGAAGGAAC